rnacentral:pre_miRNA from 13 species
GCCUGGGGGACGUACUUCUUUAUAUGCCCAUAUGGACAUGAGCAAGUGUGGAAUGUAAAGAAGUAUGUAGCCCAGGU